AGGCAUCUUGCCCUUCCACAGCCCUCCUGCAGGGCUGUUUUAAACCCCUCAGGGCAGGAGCGGGUAAUCACUCCGCUACAGCCCUGGUGAC